GCCCAGGUGGCGAAAUUGGUAGACGCAGGGGACUCAAAAUCCCCCGCCGCAAGGCGUGUCGGUUCGAGUCCGACCCUGGGCACCA
rnacentral:tRNA from 2 species